GCCAUUUUAACACCCACACCCCCUCCCUCAUUAAGACUUAAUCACACUGAAUGAGAGCUGCUCUCUUCUGGAGAGAUGGAGAAUGUGAUGCAGCUCCCAGGAGUCAGUAGCACCGGGCCACCUGGGUAAAUGGCCUAACAAGUUAUUGUGCUGGGGGAGAGAGACAAACGGGGAUGGGAGGAGAGAGGAAAGCCUGGGGAAAAAAGAGAGAUGGAGCUGGGUGGGAGAGAGGGAAAUGGAGCUGGGUGGAAGAGAGGGAAAUGAUGCUGGGUGGAAAAGA